UGGGUCAGUGAUUGAUUACAGAGUAGUGGAGCUAUAUUGAUUACAGAGCAAAAAGGGAUCUUGAAGGGUUUAGCUCUGAGGGUUAUAUUGAUGGGAAUAUUGCAUUGUUGCUGGGAAGAAGGCUCUUGAAAGUUCUUGUGGUGAGGAAGGAGAGAGAUGAAGAUAUUCCGCUCGUUGGGCCUCCUGUUUUCAGCUUUUGUACAAAGCAAGUGGUAGAGUACACAAUAACCUUCUUGUGGGAUGAUGAUUGCAGAACUCGGAUGGCAACGGUAGUAGAGCGUAUGUUGGCAAAGCUCAAGAUGUGAUGGCUACUGUUUUGACCAAAGGUCCACCCGGCGAACAACUUGACCUGCAAAUGGCACCAGGCCCAACAUUCUUUGCAAACCUCUGUUGCAUUCUAUAAUCAGGCACCCUCCCAUUGAAAAUGCAGCUCCACUCACAGUUGGGAUCAGGGAAUCACCUAUCACUCAUCAAUGGCCUAGCUUUCGGGUUCUGACUAAGACAAUAAUAAUAAUACGCCAAGCUGCACGCCUUCUGAGCUGCCCUGACAGCGUAUUGGUUUUAAAUGAAUCCUUAGAGUCCUAAAAAUACUGCUUUAUAUCUUUUUCAUAUCUUUAAUCUUUCGAAUAUUUGUAAGUCAAUUGGUAUUUGUUUUUCUCUUCCAGGUAAUACCUCAUGACGUGUUUCAA